AAUACCGCAUACGUCCUACGGGAGAAAGCAGGGGACCUUCGGGCCUUGCGCUAUCAGAUGAGCCUAGGUCGGAUUAGCUAGUUGGUGAGGUAAUGGCUCACCAAGGCUACGAUCCGUAACUGGUCUGAGAGGAAGAUCAGUCACACUGGAAUUGAGACACGGUCCAGACUCCUACGGGAGGCAGCAGUGGGGAAUAUUGGACAAUGGGCGAAAGCCUGAUCCAGCCAGGCGGCGUGUGUGAAGAAGGUCUUCGGA
rnacentral:rRNA from 1 species